AAAAAAAGAGUGGAAGAAGAUAGAUUCCCGACGACCGAGAAGGAGCAAGGAACCUCGUGGUGGAGCGUCUGCACUCAUAAUAUUUUAUAUUAUUCAGCGAUAUAAAAUCAACCAAUCAUCUCCACAGUAGACCGGAAGAGUAUGAAACAUGGCAGCCAAGUGUAUUUACAUCAUACAUGGCCAACCCACGCUAUCAUCGUAUUUCUUGGCCUCCGUGCGACACCUAGCUCUAGUAAUCCACCAGCCCGUAUCGCUUCUCGCUCCUCAUCUCUCUCAAAGUGCGGCGGGCUGGCGUUUUUGCCGUCUAUUGAGGUCGGUUAACUCAUCACAUGAUAGAGACUCUUGGGUGGGAUAGUUUUUUUGGUUGGUUUGGUGCAACUUGCUCCAAUUUGACCCUCAUGUUUGGAUACUUUAGGGCUAUUUGAGCCCCAACUAGCUCAAACUAACUCUAACCCAUGGAUCCAAGCAGGGCCAAAGUUAGUCUCGGAAAACGCAUUAAGCCCUAUAUACAUGGACAGACGGAGUACAUGAUACUAGCAAACGCUCACCAUUAGUAGUAGUUCGUUGGUUGGUUUCGAUUUUUGAUUCAGUUGCUGUGCUGCUACCAUCCAAUAUUCGCGUGUGGUUGUUUCUAGAAUAAAAAUAAAGGAGGCAGUACUUACUUUGGGAAAUGUGAAGUGAUGGUUGCUUGGCCCAAGCAACUUAUUACUCUGGGAAUAUGGGAGUACCAGUGGAUUCAACCGAAAGAGAAAUGAUGGUUGCGUCGUCCGAGCAACUUAUUGUGGUGAAGGUGGGGCUCUGUGAUUUGACUGCUCACUAGUCAUUACUACUGCGGCACAAAGACCGGGGUGAAUCUUUUCCUGCAGUUGUGCACUCAAUAUUGCUGCAUGGCAGGUGGAGCCGGAUGAAGGAUGUCCCACAUGUCGGCGUAACGAAGUUGAAUUGUUUCUGGCAUUGCUAUCAAUCCUUCAGGAUUUGUUUAUAUGUACGCAUAAUUUUAAUGAAAUUGUACUGUGAUGCUAUGAAGGUUUCAACUUUGGUUCCCGCAGGAAAAAAAAGGUUUCAACUUAGGAUUCAUGUGUCCUCUUGCCUCAAGAUUAUCUUGUUACAACAUUCCAUCAAAUACAAAUGAAACUACCAUGGCUGCUAAUGCAUCUCAAUGGUUCGCAGAUCAGCGCCAAUAUUCACAUCACAACUGAAGACAAAGUUGUGAGAAGGUGUACAAAUAAAGAAAAUAUAUAAUUGAUCGAUGUUGUUCGUAGGCAUGGCUCCAAUUCCUGGGCACAGUGUUCAUUGGUUGACAACUAGUUUCACCCAGCCCUGUAGCCAAAAAAGAGGUGUAUGGAGGACAUCACAAUCCGAGCAUUUUGUGCAGCUCCACUAAAAUCGAGCUGACCAUCCAUGUUUGCAAAGAUAUCCAGUCAGCGUGAUUACAAUAAUAGUGGAACUAGAUGAUGAAACAUAACACACACAAAUAGAAGCCGAUCACCUCUGUGAUCUCUCUUUAGGGCUAACUACUUGUUGGAGAAUAUUAGGCAUGGAUUUGGAUGAGGAGGAUAGAAAAACCAAUCUCCCUUUCUGCAGUCCCACAGAAAUGUAAAAACGUUGCCCGUGUGACAUUUCGGCGGAACUGCACAAAACACUCUUAAGAAAAAAGUGAUUUGUGCAGUUCACCAAAAGGUCGCAAUAGCAACGAGGUGAAAUGGAUAGCCCUGUUUGCAAAAGGAGGUAGAAAGGAAACAAUUACUGCCCAAUAACACGAGUUGAAGACACAUACGCCGACAAAAAAGAAGCAUAUUCCAUGUAAUAAGGGACAGAUAGCAGCAUGGUGGUUUAUCAAAAAUGGUUUGAGGACGAGAUUGCAAGAUGGAAAGUACACCGGCCGAGAUACGUUUUAAGCAAACAACUAAAGAAGAUCCACAUGCAGCAUUUUCCACAUGCAGCAACGUGGGAAGAUGGGCAAUGGAGCAAGGCCGGAGGAAGCUGUUGUACCUGAGGGUCAUCGGGAUGUAACUAGGAGGGCGCCAGCGGCCGGGAUCUGCCCAUACUGCGGCAGCCAGCAAGUGGCGAAGGCCCUACCGUGCCGGAGUUGGUAAGAGAGAACGAUGGGUACUGUCGGAUUACGGGUUCCGCAAACCCUUGAAAGGUUUGAAUUCUGGGGUGCGUGCGGAGAUCUCAACCUCCCAGCCUGCCUACUCGCGAUCCUCCUAAGCCUAGCGCGUCGAGCUAGAAGAGACAAAGAGACACAAAAAUUUAUCCUGGUUCGGGCCACCUUGCGGUGUAAUACCCUACUCCAGCGUUUUGGUGGAUUGCCUCGGAGGGCUGAGGAUGAACUAUUACAGUGGAUGAACUGCCUCAGGAGGUGAGGUGUUCUUGAGCUCAAGAGAUCUGGUGGGAUGUGGACUAGAUCAGAUGUGAUCCGAUCCCCCUCUAUGGUGGUGUCUAAGUCCUAUUUAUAGUGGCCUUGGUCCUCUUGCCAAAUGUUGCCGGGAAGGGAUCCCACAAUGUCCGGAUUUGAAAGGGGACAAGUAGUACAACUUAUACUAACAAAAGUGGUCUUCGCCUGCGAAAAGCCCCUGGUCGUGACGCUGCGGUGGGCUCGGUGAUGACCUCCGUCCUGCCGUCCUGGUGGUCUUGGUCUUGUUGCACUAGAAUGGAAACCUUUGGAUGAUUCCUCGGGACUCCAUGCCUGUGGCUUGCCUCCCUUGCACCAAAUAGGAAACUGGCGCUCUGCACCCGCUGGCGCCCACCUGGCCUUGGUCGUCAUGGCUCACGUCAGCUGAGCCUCGUGAGGUGCACCUUGCAUAGAACUCUCCGCCCCUCGGGAGCCAGCCUGAAGAGGCCGAUCCCCUCGGGGGUCUUGGCGUCGUCCGCCUUGCGAGGCUUGGCCCCUCGCGAGGGUCUUGAGCUGUUGAUGUCGAAGCUGGGCCGUACCAAGCCGCAGAUGGAGCCACACGGUGGGCCGCAGGCAGGCAAGUCUGGAUACCCCCAAAUCCAGAACGCCGACAGUAGCCCCCGGGCCCAAGGCGCGCUCGGACUUGGCUUCCAGGCGAAGCCAAAGGGCAAGUGUGGAGCACCGCGGGCCCUAACCACCUGCGGCCUGAUGACGCGUGGCGAUUGAUGGGACGUGGGCGUCUCCACUUCCCCAUGCUGCCUCGGCAACUGUUCGACUUGACAGAACAAUGCGGCAUGCAGAAGAUCAGCAUGGCGCGAGGUCGUGGAGGCUGGCGGUUGGCCUUCCUUGGCUAUAAAUGUGGGGGAGGGGCAGAGCCCCCCACUCAUCUCUCCUUCGUCUUACUGCCGCCCGCUUCUUCUCCUUCUUCGUCUUGCUUCCAUGGCGUCACCGAGGAGGUUUUUGGCGGCCGAGAAGGGGAAAGCUUCCAAGGAGGGACCGGCCUCUCCGCCUCCGAAGAGAGGCGCGGCCGUCCCCGUAAGCACCCUGCGGCCCCCGCAGCGGCCCCUAGGGGCGCGGGUGCACACCCCCCAGAGCCGGCGUUUCUCUUGGUGCCCGCGAUGGCACCUCUUCUCGCGGCGGGGGCCACCGGCUUCGGAGCAGCCCCCAUGACGAGGGGAGGCGCGUCGUGAUCGUGCACCUGCCUUGGCCGCGCUUCUCCUUGCUGGACGUGCUCCCUGAGUUUGUGGUGUGGUCGGAGAGCCCGGCCGGCACCUCGCUCCGGCUUGUGUGUUUCUUCUCCGACGAGCUUCCAUCCUCGGGGCUCGAUGGUCUCUGGCUGCAGGCUGGCGGCUGCUGCAGCAGAGCUUUGUGGGUCGGGGCUGAGGUCGCCGCCUCCGGCAGCGUGGUCCUGACCCGCGGCUGGCAGACGUUUGCCCGCGCGCGAGGCCUGGGUGGAAGGUGCACCCUCCGCUUCAAGUAUGACGGCCUGGCGACCCUCUACGUGAGGGUGUUCAGGGAGGACGGCCGCCACGUGGGGUGCGUCCCGGAGGACGGCAGCGACGUUGAGGGUGGCGAAGGUGAGCCUGGCCUUGGCAGUGCGCGCUCCUCUUCUCGCGACGGCGGCUCUUCUUCGGAUGAGAGCUCGAGCAGUGGUGGCUACGACCGGCCCCCACGUCGCCGCGCUCGGGUCGAGGAUGGCGGUGGUUCGUCUCGCCGCAACGCUCAAGUGAAGCUAGAGAGGAGCCCGGCGUGAGUCUGGGGGCCGCCGAACUUGGACUCAAGACCGGCUACAGCCCCAGGUCGCCUAUGGGGGAACUGGUGGAGCGUCGGGCUACCUUGAGGCGCUGCUUGAGGAUGCGGUGCUGGUGCCGUGUUCGUAUGCCCUCGAGUCUUCUUUGUUUAGCCUUUCCUUUCUCCUGUAAUUCGAAAAAAAGAUGGUGUACCCCACCGGGGCGUGUAAUGAACUAUGGGAGUUAUGCCCUCAAUGUUAUGCUUGCUAUCUUGAUGUUGUGUUGUAAUGUUUGCGCUCUGAGUAAGCCAAGAUAGGAAAACUUAGCUUGAUAUGUGCGCAGUAGCUUUCCACCUCGCGAGGACUUGGCUUCUGGCGCUCAACGAGGUCCCCUUCCUGGGGAGCUGGAGGUCACAGACCUCAAGAGACGCCUCGGGGUCUCGGGAGCCGCCGUGGAACCGCUGCAGGGCUGCUUUUAAAGGAAAAGGAAAACUGACGAGCACCUCACUCCUUCUUAUGUGAGCCCCCUGCCAUAGAUUAGCUCUGACUUAAUGCACCGCGUCGCGCUGCCCGGGGGGCACGAAUAUGAGGGGUGCUGAUGCCUGUGAGCUUGAUCGAGGGCUCCUCACGAGGACGAGGCCGAAGCACUAGGGAAGCAGGGUUCGACGUGGUGUGCGCGUACGAGGGUAGGCCCAAGGCGCACACACCUACCUAGCCCCCACGCGUGAGGCACGCGAGGGAGAGUGAUGGGCAACUGCCACCUCUCUCCUGUCCUUAGGCCAAAAACAAACGAGCGGGAGGGGAAGAAAUUAACUCGGCGAACCAAAACAUGAAAGUACCAAAUCCAUUGAAAGAUUACUAAAAAACUGCAAGCAACUUCGGAAAGCAAAUGAACAGCCGCUUCCGGCACCUAAUCUAGUCUUCUCACCAGCGCGGAGCUAAGUGUUGCCACUAAGACGUGGGAGGGAGCCCCCAUGAAGCCCCAGGGCGAAUCUCAGGAGACUCCGGGGCGUGUACAGUCCCACUCAUUAUUACAUGAGAGUGUCACGAGCAGAGACCUUCACAGGCCGGAGCCUUGCUUCACAGGCCUUUCUUUAAGGGUAGAACUUCCGGAGGUGCUGGAUGUUCCAGGCGUUCUGGAUGGGGACCCGUCCUGUGUCUCCAGGCACGCGGUGCCAGGCCUGGAGACACGGGCAAUCCUAAACGGGCCCUCCCACAUGGGAGAGAGCUUGUGCAACCCUUCCCUAGAGAGCACCCGCCUCAGGACGAGGUUGCCCACCUCUAACGUCCUGGAGCAGAUGCUGCGGCAGUGGUACCGCUGCAGCACCUGCUGGUACCUUGCCGCCCGGAGCGAGGCUUGACGGCGGCAUUCCUCCCCCAGCAUGAGAUCCAUCCCCCACGUGGCGUCCUGACGUGCCUCGUCGAAUGCCAGGACCCGCGUGGAGCGAUGCCUGACCUCGUGUGGGAGAACCGCCUCUGAUCCGUAGACGAGGAAGAAGGGCGUCUCUCCCGUUGGCUUGGUCGCGGUGGUGCGGAUGGACCACGACACAGACUGUAGCUCGUCGAGCUAGCCCCUGCCACAGGCCUCGAGCUUCUUCUUGAAGGUUCUUGUCUUGAGGCCCCUCAGGACUUCUGCAUUUGCCCGCUCGGCUUGGCCAUUGCUCCUGGGGUGUGCCAUUGAGGCCUAGCAUAUCUGCGUUCCAAGGUUAGCACAGUAUGUUUUAAAAAGGUUGCUAGUGAAUUGCGAGACGUUGUCAGUGAUGAUGCGGUUAGGAACCCCAAACCGGCUCACGAUGCCCUUGAUGAACUUGACGGCUGAUCCAGCUGGGAUGGCGUGAACAACUUCUACCUCCACCCACUUGGUGAAUUUGUCAAUGGCGAUGUAGAUGUAUCGGUAGCCCCCUGGCGCUUGAGGGAACGACCCCAAGAUGUCCAGCCCCCAGACCGCGAAUGGCCAUGUGAGCGGGAUUGUCUGGAGGCCCUGCGCAGGCUGGUGAAUCUGCUUGGCGUGGAACUGGCAUGCUUCACAGGAACGCACCAGCUCUGUGGCGUCAUUGAGCGUAGUGGGCUAGUAGAAGCCGCUGCGGAACGCCUUGCCCACCAGAGUGCGUGACGAGGAAUGAUGCCCGCAGUCCCCACCAUGUAUGUCCGCUAGUAGCUCAAUUCCCUGCUCCCUGGAGAUGCAUCGCAACGGAACGUCAUUGGGCCUCUUGCGAUAUAACUCACCGUCCUGGAUGCAGUACACGGUGGCUUGACGAGCCACGCGCUCAGCAUCCUCUUCCUUCUCUGGCAAGUUCUCUUGAAGCAGGUACGCCUUGAACUUCUCAGACCAGCACCCCUCCUGUGGCUCGAGUGCCAGCAGCAUGCGGGCCCCUGUGGGGUGGCCACAUGCUGGGGCGCCCGUCUCAGGCACCCGAGGCAGAUCCUCCUGAGGCGGUGCUAGAGCCGCGGUGGGGGGAGCCGCAGAUGGCUUGAAGAGCCGCUCCUCAAACACCCCCGGCUCCUGGGGGAGCCUUCGGGAGGCUCUCUUGGCGAUAUCGUCCGCCUCCUUGUUCGUCCCUCGCGGCACGUGUUGCAGUUCCAAGCCCAAGAACCGCUUCCCCAUCUUGCGUACCUCUUCUAGGUAUGCCUCCAUGUGCUCGUCCUUGGGUGUGUACUCCUUGUUGGAGAAGUUGACGAGGAGCUGGGAAUCGCCCUUGAUGGUGAGGCGCUUCACCCCCAGUGCCGCCGCGGCCCUGAGACGUGCGAGCAAGCCCUCGAACUCCACGAUGUUGUUGGAGACCUUCUCGCCCUGCUGGAAACAAAGUUGUACCGCGUAGCAGAGCUUGGCCUUGGUGGGUGAGAUAAGGACUGCUCCUGCUCCUGUGCCUUGUCAUGCGAACGCUCCGUCAAAGUACAUGAUCCACCCGUCUGGUUCCUGGUCCCCAAGUAAGAGGGAGCGGUCCUCGCUCACCCCGUGGUCGGGGAGGUUAGUCCACUCGGCCACGAAAUCAGCAAGGGCCGCACCCUUGAUGACCUUGGUGGUGCUGAACUCGAGAUGGAACGCCUGGAGCUCGAUGUUCCAUUCUGCAACUCGCCCGGCGGCGUUUGGGCUCUGGAGCACCCUCUCCGGUGGGUCUGCCGAAACGACUUUGAUGGGGUGGCCUUGGAAGUAGUGACGCAGCUUUCGGGAGGCGACGAGGAGCAUGAGCAAGAGUUUCUGAGGCAUGGGGUAGCGUGCCCGUGCCUCCCUCAGCACUGUGCUGACGAAGUAGACAGGGUACUCGAUGAGGGAAGAGGCACCAGUGGAGUCUUGUUCUUCUUGAGGACGCGGGCCUUCGAUGGUCUCGUGAGGUACGUCCUCAGGAGCCCCCCCCCCCAGCCGUGAGGUCAAUCGCAGCCUCGGGAGGGACAUCGGCCGCUGGGAUGGCCGAGGCCCCAGUUGCGCCGUCUUGAGGGCAUUGUGCUUUGCUUGGUGGUUGAGCGCCCUGCCGAGGGUCCUUGGAUGGGCACUCCUUCCUUAGCGCCACCAGGGCGGCACUGGCUGAGUGAGGGGUGGCUGCCAAAUAGAGCACCAAGGGCUCGAGAGGGCGCGGCGCCACCAUCACUAGUGGGCUGGUCAGGUAUCUCUUGAGGUCUUGAAAGGCUGCGUCUGCCUCCGGGGUCCACUCGAACGCCUCCUUGCUUUUCAUCAGCUUGAAGAACGAGAGGGCGCACUCCCCCAGCUUGGAGAUGAAGCGCCCAAGCGAGGUUACGCUGCCCUCCAGUUUCUGCAUCUCCUUCAGGGUCUGCGGGGGGCUCAUGUCUUCAAUUGCCUUGACCUUCUCUGGAUUGGCCUCGAUCCCUCUAUGUGACACCAGGAAGCCCAGCAGCUUGCCUGAGGGAACCCCGAAUACACACUUCUCGGGAUUGAGCUGAAGAUCCACCUUGCACAAGCUGGCAAACGUCUCCUCCAGAUCUGCUAUCAGGGUCCUGGCCUCCCGAGACUUCACUACUAUGCCAUCGACAUAGGCCUCUGCAUUUCUCCCGAGCUGCAUGCCCAGGGGAUAUGCAUUAGCCGCUGGAAGGUAGCCCCGGCAUUGCGCAGCCCGAAGGGCAUGCAGGUGUAGCAGUGCACCCCGCAGGGGGUCAGGAACACCGUCUUCUCCACAUCUUGCACGACCAUCUUGGCCCGAGAAGGCGUCCAAUAAGCACAACAGGUCACACUCGGCGGUGGAGUCCAUGAUCUGGUCAAUGCGAGGAAGCGGAAAGGCAUCUUGAGGGCAGGCCUUGUUGAGGUUGGUGAAGUCGACACACAUGCGUUCCUUCCCUCCUUUCUUGGGGACGACAACGGGGUUCGCCAGCCACUCCAGGUAUCGUACUUCCCUGAUGACCCCCGCGUCUUGCAGCUUGCGGGUUUCUUGGACGAUAAAGGCUUGCUGUGGACUGACGACGAGCCUUCUGCUUCACUGGUCGCACGCACGUUUGGGCAUACCUUUAGGUGGUGCUCGAUUAUUCCCCUCGGGACCCCAGCCAGGUCUUUGGGCUCCCAAGCGAACACAUCCUUGUUGGCGCGCAAGAGGUCGACCAACGCUUUUCUCUUGGUCCUGAGGGAGGCCAGCUCCUAUGGUGAAGGUGGUGCUGGUUGUUCCCUCGUCACUGACCAACACUUGAUUCGUCUCGGCUCGGUCUUGGGAGAACAGCUAAUGGUUCUUGGCCGGUGCCGCUCCCGGGGCCCUAGGACCCCCCUUCUCAUCAGGCAGCACGGAUGCCGCUGACCUGAAGGUGAGCUUGAGGGCCUGCAGCAAGUCUUUGGUGUCCCCUGCCACCGUGAGGACACCGUUGCUGCCAGGCAUCUUCAUGAGGUUGUAAGUUGGGUAAGUCGCCGCCAUGAACUUGGCCAAGGGCGGGUACCACAGGAUGGCAUUGUAUGGCAGGCCGAUCCGGGCGAUGUCAAAGUCGAUGAGCUUGGUGCGGUAGUUGUAGUGGGUCCCGAAGGUGACGGGGAGGUGGAACUGCCCCAGGGGGCUGGUGGAGCCAUUGCCGACCCCGGCGAAAGGCUUGGUGGGGCGAAGCCGGCCGAGGGGCACGUGCAGCAGGCCGAAUGUUUCCGCAGAGAGCACGUUGAGGCCGGCUCCACCGUUGAUGAGGGUCUUGGUGACCUCCACGUUGCAGAUGGUGGGGGUGCAAAGCAUCGGGAGUGCGCCUACUCCUGUCGUGGCAGCUGGAUGAUCCUCGGGGCCAAAGGUGAGGUCAACCUUAGGCGCCGCCCAGCCCAGGGGAGCCCCCGAGCCCGCCUGGGCGGCACUUACGUGUCGGUAGAACUGCUUGAUGUGGCGGUCGGAGGGUGAUCCCUGCGAGCCACCUAGGAGAGCUGCGACGACCGGGGGCGCCGGUGCCGCGAAGCGUGCGAUGAAGAGGCCGUGCAGCUCCUCCCAGGAGGCUACAGAGGACUCCGGCAGGUUGAGCAACCAGGCGCGCGGUGCGCCUACAAGGGCCAUGGGAAGCCAGUUGGCCUUCACCUUGUCAUCUCCGCCGGCCGCCCAAACUGCUUCUUCAUACGCAUGGAGGAAGGCGGCCGGGUCCGCCGUGCCGUCGUAGCGUGGCGGCAUCUCCGGUCUGAACUUGGGUGGCCACUCCACCCGCCGCAGGGAGAGGGUGAAAGAGCGCAGCCCCGGUGCUACUUCUAAGGCACGCGUCGGCCGAGUCGAUGGAGAAGCGCCCGCCAUUGAAACCGACGGCGCGAUCUGGCGGACGGGGCAGAAGAUCUCCGACGCACCCCUGCCUGGCGCGCCAAAUGUCGGAUUACGGGUUCCGCAAACCCUUGAAAGGUUCGAACUCUGGGGUGUGUGCGGAGAUCUCAACCUACCCAGCCUACCUACUCAUGAUCCUCCUGAGCCUAGCGCGUCGAGCUCGAAGAGACAAAGAGACACAACAGUUUAUCCUGGUUCGGGCCACCUUGCGGUGUAAUACCCUACUCCAGCGUUUUGGUGGAUUGCCUCAGAGGGCUGAGGAUGAACUAGUACAGUGGAUGAACUAGCAUCAGGAGGUGAGGUGUUCUUGAGCUCAAGAGAGAUGGUGGGAUGUGGACUAGAUCAGAUGCGGUCCGAUCCCCCUCUAUGGUGGUGGCUAAGUCCUAUUUAUAGUGGCCUUGGUCCUCUUCCCAAAUGUUGGCGGGAAGGGAUCCGACAACGGCCGGAUUUGAAAGGGGACAAGUAGUAUAGCUUAUCCUGACAAAAGUGAUCUUCGCCUGCGAAAAGCCCCUGGUCGUGACGCUGCGGUGGGCUCGGUGAUGACCUCCGUCCUACCGUCCUGGUGGUCUUGGUCUUGUUGCACCAGAAUGGAAACCUUUGGCUGAUUCCUCGGGACUACGCGCCUGUGGCUUGCCUCCUUGCACCAAAGAGGGAACUGGCGCUCAGCGCCCGCUGGCGCUCAGCGCCCGCUAGCGCUCGCCUGGCCUUGGUCCUCAUGGCUCACAUCAGCUGAGCCUCAUGAGCUGCACCUUGCAUAGAACUCUCAGCCCCUCGGGAGCCAGCCUGAAGAGGCCGAUCCCCUCGAGGGUCUUGGCAUCGUCCGCCUCGCGAGGCUUGGCCCCUCGCGAGGGUCUUGAGCUGUUGAUGUCGAAGCUGGGCCGUACCAAGCCGCAGAUGGAGCCACACGGUGGGCCGCAGGCAGGCAAGUCUGGAUACCCCCAUAUCCAGAACGCCGACAGGUACCGCAGAUCGGGACUUGCUGCCUCAACGCCGUCGAACAGAGAAACGAUGCACAUCCUCCCUUUCCGCCGGUGAACGGGAUGCGGCCGGAUCACUGACCAACGGUGAGAGAGAGAGGCCACCGCCGCCUUGUGUGAGAUGGCGUGACGAUAGACAAACCCCGGCAGGCAGGCUCCAUUGUAUAUAGUGGAGCGGAUUUUUCUUUUUUCCCGACGACGAUCGUUUUAUAUUCUGUACGUGCCAUUGAGGAAUAUUACUUUAUUUAAUACUAAUGCGCCAAGUCGAACUUUGUUCCGUCUACGCGUGGUACACGACCCUCCUUCGAAUAAACAACCGCUACACGCGUCAAAUUAUCACGUGGGCUGCCUUUUCGUACAGAAAUGAACUCCACCAUGUACCCGCGCAGGUGUGGCCGGGAACGAGACGUGAGUACAUGCGUCCUGCGUGCACCUCUUCUUUAGGUGCGGGUACGUACGUGGGUGGGUGUGAGAGAGAUGGUUUGCGCGAAACAGAGGCAAUGUGUCGAUGAUAUCUCAAACAAAAAAAUAACAUAUGCAAUGUGUGUGAAACAGAUUCAUGGAUAUAUCAUAUAUAGAGGGAGCGAUCCAUGAGAAGAGAGUGGAGGGAUCAUCGACGUGAGAUAUCGAUAGAAUCAAAAACAGGGAUGAAGUGUGUGGCUACGCGAACGAUAAAGGGUGGCAUCAAAUUUGUGUUUGCCCAAGUCAAAGAUACAAGGCGGCUGGCCUACUGGAAUUUGAGAGGGCAGAGGUGCAGUUUUUCUCUGUGGCAUGGAUACCUACCUACAACGUUCGACUAUCGGUGUGUGUGGGGGGGGGGGAGGGGCAGAGACCUAACUAUAGAGAGGUAGCUCGACUAGUAUAUGUGUGGAGAAGGAGAGAGACCUAGCUAUGUAUUGAGGGAGAUCAAUCGGCAUCCAUGCAUAUGUCUAGCAGAGGAAUAAGGUUGGGAGAAAGACAAAGGUAGAGUGUCGGAGGGUUGGUGGUGGAGGUUCUUCUCACAAAUGCUGGGAGAGGCCUGCUAGACAAACGGAGGGUACGGGUGCAAUAUCAACAAGAGAGGGCCGGGGAUGUCUUCCUGUCUAUGCACGUGCGUGUGAGAGACGGGUCGGGAGGUAUGCAAGGAUGAUGAGGGGGGACGAUAUGGUUGUGGUAAGCAUACGUAACUACAUAGGAAGAUCAAUCGUCGUGUAUCCGAGAAAGGGAGAGACAUAACUAGUGAGGUAAGUCUAUGGUGCGUGGGGAAAAAGAAUUAUAGUCGACCUAGCUAUAUGUAGGGAGAACGGUACGUAUACAUGCAUGCAUGUGUUAGAAGCAAAUAAGGUCCAGAGAGACGGACAGGGGGAGAGGGGUGCGGCUAGGAGGUGGUGCGACAGGCCUACUAUGUCGAGGGGGAGGAUUGUGCGAGUAUGAGAUCAAUGAAAAGAGGGGCGGGAGUGUGCACCUGCAUGGAACCGUAUUGGACAUAGGGAGGCAUGGACGGUGAGAAGAGAAGAUGGGAAGUGUGUGUUUUUGGUAGGCACACUUGGCUAGAGAGGCAUAUCGACCGGUGUGUGCCGGAAAGAAGGAGCCGGGGGGCUACACACACCAUGGGUGAACAACCUAAAGAGAAAUAACGAAUGUGCGUGAUGGAGGGGACGCUGAGGGAGGGUGAGAGGGGGCGGGCGUGUGCAUGCACGAUAGAAAGUUAGCGCUAGCUAGCUACAAAGAGAAGAGGAUCGUGAAGGUGUAAAAGACGAACAGAGAUCAUAAUUCAUUAUAAAAAAGUGGAUACGGAUACUUGAAGAAGAUAUCAUAAUGUAUAACAUUGAUUAUAAUUUGGGAUAAUGUGUGACUUUUGCAGCUCAGGGCUAAAUACUUGUCAUAAUGUAGGGGGCGGGGCACUAUACUUUGUGUGAUAAACACAGUGUACGUAUGGAACAUGGUUUAGAUUAUGAAUAUCUAGUUAGUACAUCAAAUGUACUAUUAUUUGAAAUCAACAUCAAGUGUAUUCAAAAAAUUGAAUUCGAGUUCAUAUAGUACACAUAGUUCAUAUAUAUCUCUAUAGUAAUCAUGUGGUGUGUUGUUAAGGUAAUACACAAAUGAUGGUUGAAGUUGGCAACAAUCAUGACUAGUAGAAUGCCCGUGCAUUGUCUCUGGCUUUUGAAAUAUUUUUCUGAAGUUAUAUAAACAUAAUGUGUUAAAUUUCACAUGUAAAGAAAAGAUAGCAUGGGCACAAUUGGGUAAUAAUUGAAGUCCACUUCACUUGCAAUGUAAAUUCAUUAAAAAAGCAGUUUGACUAUUUAUACAUACAGAGCGAUUGUUCAACUAAAAAUAUAUUACAAAUUAAAUUUCACUUGAUGCACUUAAGAAAUUCCUGCGCGGUUAGGAAUGUUGUCUAUCCAGUUUUGUUGAGCUUACCUGCCCAGCCUUAUUCUGAUCUCAGCUACUCUCUCACCACACCCAGCCCUCUCACUCUCUCACCCCAGACACAUCCCUGCAAUUUCCUAAACUAAUAUUAUCUUGAAUAUAGUGAUAAAAAAAUAAAUGCUUGUAUUUUGAAUGUUAUGAUGAUGAAAUAUAUAAAUUUACCCGUCUAUGCUCCUUGGAAUACCAUGUGGAAAUAAACGUUGCCAUCUAGCUAUGUCAAAAUACCAGUCGAGUUGCUUUUAUUUCGAGUGUCCUGGUAAAUUCCCUCGCAAAUCUUGUGUGGUCAACCUCGACCAGAGCUUCUACUUCUUUGGUUGUGCGGUCAUGAAUUCCUCACUCUCACUCAAAAACACCGUGACGGCCACCAUCGACCAUGCCCUGCUCGCCGACUAAAAACAUAACUUUACCAUCCAGAGAGGCUACUCGAGGAAUCGAGGGUGCAAUCGCCAUACGUGGGUUUCCACUUUCCCCCCUUUGAUUUUAACUCAUUUUUUGCAUGAGGGGGAUCGAGCGAGGGGGUGAAUUUGUUUCCUUGGAUUGAUCGGUGGUUUUACGAAGCGAAUCGAACAAACACGACAUAUGGACUUCCUUUAACUGUGGGGAAUACUAUGUAUAAUAGACAUUUAAUAAUAUUCAAAAAAUUAGAGAUUAAUAAUAAAUACAUACAUCAUAUUUUUUUCAUCUGGAAAGAUUUAAUUUGACUGGGGUAUGAGUAGUAGAAGGCAAGAAAAGUUUUUAUUUAAUGUAAAGCAAGGAAAGUUUCGAGUUGGUUGAAAUUUUGAUAAGAUUUGAAUUGAUUGAGUUAAUUCAUGAUGUGGUUUUGGUAAAUUAUGAUUUGGUUUAGAUUAUUUCAAGCUGCUUUAUUUACAUUGAUUUUUGUUUUGUGCUCCAUCAAUUGAGGUUACUAAAAAAACAGAAAACCAAAGAAGAAAUGGGGCAUGGAAGGAAAAAACAGGUGUAGGCGGCGUGAUGCGGAGCAUCCCACGGUCAUCCCCAUGGACCUACCAUCAUCUCAUCAAGUGCCAAGAAGACCCAUGACACAAGCACGAGCUAGAGCUCUCGAGACCGAGGUGACUUCCUUCCUUAAUGAACUUCCAUAUGAAUCAUGUGAGACAUGGAUACUACCUCAAACGGAAAUGUUAUGCGUGCUCAGGUACCUAGAAGACCCUCUCGGAGAUGCGCAUGAAGACGGACAAGUCCACAAGUUCAUGGAUGAAGAGAACCAACGGAUGGAGUCAACAUCUCCCAGGCCCCGGACAUUCGGCCGUGACCCUGGACAUCCGGCCAUGACCCCGGACAUCCGACCCCUGGAACAUCGUCCACAGCAGCCGCCCAGCCGCCAAGCAUCUACAGGCCCCGGACAUCCGGCCCCAGCCCGGAAAUCUGGCCGAAGCCCGGAGAUCUGGCGCCGCGUCACCGAACCUACUCAACCGGCCUCCACUAGCCCGGACAUUGGCCCCCCUAGCCCAGACAUCCGGCCCCUCGGGAAGGCCCGGGUAUCCAGCCCCUCCUGUCUGCGCACAGUAAAGGGUCGAGGCCUGUGUACCCCUUCGCCCACCUAGACUAUAUAUACUCCUUCUCCUCCAUCUUUCUAGGGUUAGCAAUGUGAUAGCUCAUAUUUGAGAUAGAGCUUUGCUCAUCCAUACGGGUCUACUCCUCGAGAGAGACCACGGCCCCUCUUCGGAGAUGAUCCACGUUGGAUUCAAGACCUCCUCACGGAGAAGACCCCCUUCAAGACCUCCUCACGGAGAAGAACCAGUUACCCUAUGUAUCGUCCUUUGUUGGAUUCAUAUCGUGUAUCUCUCUUUGUGUUAUGAGGAUCUAGCGCAUGUGUGAUUGUUCUUAUUGGUUUGAGUGAUUCUCUUGUGUUUUCCCUUGUGUUUCCCCUCGUGUUCUGCGUGUUCCUCGUUGCGAUCCACUCCUUUCGUGAAAGAUCGGGCAGCUAGGGUUCGACCCUACAUCAUCUUGGUAUCAUGAGCCACGCUGAUCACAAUUUCGGAGCCUCCCUCUUUGUUUUUUAGCCUUGUUUUGUUGAUUUUGUCCCAAAUUCGAAAAUUUCCCACAAAAAUAGCCCCCCAAUUUUUUUGUGAUUUGUUGGUGUGAUGAAAUUUUGUUGGAUUUGAUCCGUGGAUUUCGUGUGUAGCAGGUAGAUCUAGCUUUCCCCCAUCUUUUCCCCAAUUUCCAUCCACAAAAUCUUCCGAAUUUUGCCCCGGAUUUGACCUUUCCACGCGGAGUUCAUCGAGUUCGUCCACGGAUCCCGAGCCCGGACAUCUGGCCUCCCCGGACAUCCGGCCCUCAAGCCCGGACAUCUGGCCCCUAACAGCAUCACUUCCAUCUACCGUUCUGUUUUCCGCCUAACUUUCACCAAUUUUUGUUUCGGUGCCCAUUUACACUUCCGCAUACCACCACCACUUCCGCAUAGAACCACCACCGCUUACCCGCUACCAACUCUGACAACUUUUGACACAUUUUGCUUUGAGAAUUUGAGUUGCAGUGCUCGUGUCCUAUUGUAUUUCGGCUAUUUAGGUAUGGUGCGACAACAACAUCACCGCCGCUCAUCUUCGCCAAGGACUCGACAUCGACCUCUUCGACAACUUUGACACUUCGACCGUAAGCACGGACGGUAACCUUGAUGACACUGUGUGUACUCCAUGCCAUUACAUUGAUAACCACAUAUCCCAUCUUUGCGUACCUUACUCAUCGAGACUAGCCUUUGAGUAUUGCCGGCAACGUGACUUGUGCACAUUAGUGAUCAUACUUCCCGUAGCAUACAUACCAUAUCAUAGUGGUGCAUAUCUUGGUAUCAUCUCUUGUGUCACAAGGUUGUCAUCGCAUAUACACAAUUGCUAUCUUGGUUCGUGAAGUUUUGCAUGAGAAAAGAGCUCAAAAGAGAAAGAGGAAAACAAGCUUUUAAGCGAAAGGGAAAGAUAAGCAAAGAGCUUAUAAGCAAGAACCAUAGCAUCAUACUACAUUAAGAUUGUCAUACUCGAUCAUCUUGGAUCAUAUCAACGGAAUACCAUACAUAUAGCAUAGUUGGGAUAGAAGUCGUUGCAUUUUUGCUUAGUAGGUUGUGCACAAGUUUCGUAUCCGCCUAUUAAUCGUGCUAGCGUCUCUCUAGUGUUGUGCAACAAGAGCAUUUUCGUGGAUUCCACAUUUUGGAUCAUUCCUUGGUUGCACGAUCCCAUCUAUCUAUUUGCGUGUGUGUUUCCAUGUUCCAUAUCUUGCUAUUGGUCUACUUGUUGCAUUUGCAAAUUUGUGAAUCUUUUCCAACUUUAUUGAAGCUCACUAACAAUUGCAUCAAAUUUUGUGCCACCAUCCUAACCAAGCUCCACCAUAAGCUUUUACUUGUGUAGGUGUGAGAACCGACAAGAAUUGGUACCAAUUGUGCUAUUUCCUUGUUCCACGUUUGAGUGAUCAUUGAUCCAUCUUCAACAUCGGUCAAGGUACAUUUGGUAUAAGUUCUUCUCUUUCUCCCACUCACAUAUUUGCUUGGAAUGAUGGAUAGGCCAAGUUAUUCUACCAACCCACUAUUCAUCGAGCAAGACGAUGACAUGUCCUCCUAUGUCACAAAGAGCCACCUCUUUGGUGCACAACGAGCUUUGCAUCAAGAGCAACAAGCAAUGAGCGAACGCAUCGACAACCUCGCCACUAACUUGCGACUCUCCGAGCAACGUACAAGAGAGUACUUCGACAACAAGCUAGACGACCACAAACAAGAGAAUGACGCAAGAAUGGACGAGAUUCGUGCUUUGUUGCUCAACCGCUCUUCUCCCAUUUCGUCCUACUCAAGACGGAGCCGCUCGAGUCGACCCUCUGACGACACAAUCUCCGGCUCAAGUACCCCAACAUCAAACACUCUUCGACGAGCCGUGCACCAAGACCGUCAAGCAAACCGCAAUCCUCUACACGACAACAACUCUCAAGAGCAAGUUCGAGCGCAACAACAUCGACACGGUCAAAACCAAGCUUCUUUCGUGCAAGCACAAGAACGGCAACGUCAACAUCAACAAGAAGAGGAAGAACGAGCAAGAUAACACCAAGAUGCACAAGAUGCCGAGGCACAACGUCAAGUAAAACAACGGCAAGAAGCUCAAGCACUUGAGGCGCAACAAGCCCUCCGAGAUUCAAGUCGAACCGUAGCCACACGCAACCGGCAAGCUCGUGAACAACAAGAAGCACUUCGUGAUGAAGUUCAAGAACGACUCUAUCAAGCUCGCAUACAUCGUCAAGUUCCUCAAGCUCCUCCACAAGCUCGUCAAGAACAUCAAGUUCACCAAUAGGAAGAAGACAAUGUAAAUCCUCCAAGACAAGAGCAAUAUGAGGUUGACAACCCUCCACGUCAUGGGCGUCAUCAUCCCCAACCCCAACACAAUGAAGAGAAACGCUAUGGCAAGCUAAAGUUCACCACGCCCAAGUUUUCCGGAAGCAAUGAUACCGAAGAGUACCUUUCAUGGACAUUGAAGGUUGACAAAACCUUCCGCUUGCACAAUUAUGAAGAAGAGAAGAAGAUCGCGAUGGAAUCCCUUGAAUUUCAAGAUUACGUCCUCAUUUGGUGGGAACAAGUCCUUGAGCGCCGAGAGGCAAGAGGUGAACCACCCAUCACAACUUGGGCGCAAAUGAAGGAUGUCAUGAGAGCACGUUUCGUGCCAACCUACUACAACCGCGACCUCUUCAAGAAACUCCAACUCCUCAAGCAAGGAACCAAGAGCGUUGAAGAAUACUACAAGGAAAUGGAGAUUGCCAUGAUACUAGCCAAUGUCACAGAAGAUGAUGAGCAAACUAUGGCACGUUUCUUGAAUGGACUCAAUCAUCCUAUCAAGAAGAUCGCCGACUUCCAACCAUACUUAAACCUCAUCGAGCUAGUGGACCAAGCAACCAAGGCGGAGCGACAAGUGCAAGAUGACUUCAAAUACGCCAAGUUCUCUUCCAAGACAUUCGGACAAUCAAGCUUCAACGACUCCAACACCUUCUACCUCAACCAAGCCUUCUACAAGCAAUGGCGACAAGUCAAGUUACAAGAAAACUUUGACAACUUCAAGUUGUCCUACUACAAGCAACUUCAAGCCGAUAGCUUCAUCAUCUACUCCGACCGAUGAGACCAUCAAGACAAGUUCCUUCAAAUGUUUCACAUGCGGCGGCCGAGGCCACAAGUCCUAUGAGUGUACCAACAAGCGAACCAUGAUCCUCAACGACGACGGAACCUAUGACUCCAUGAGUGAAGAGGAGAUGGAAGCCCUUGGGCAAGUGGCCAUGCAUCGGCAAGUGAACGAAGAUGAAGAUGAUCAAGUCUUUUGUGACGAGGAUUCGAGCCCCGCUCUCGUUGUCUCCAAGGUCUUGACUCUUCAACAUCAACAAGAUGAAGACCAAAGAUGCCAUAUCUUCCACACCAAGGUCGGCAUCAAUGGAAGGUCCGUCAAGGUCAUCAUCGACGGAGGGAGUUGCCAUAACUUGGCGAGUGACGAACUAUGCUCCAAGCUCCAAUUGGUCAAGACGAAGCAACCGCACCCCUACAAGGUUCAAUGGCUAAGCGACUCCGGCACUAUACAAGUUGAGCAUACGGUGAAAGUUUCCUUCAAAAUCGGAGCCUAUGAAGACACUUUGGAGUGUGAUGUCGUUCCGAUGUCCAUUUACCACCUCCUUCUUGGACGGCCAUGGCAAUUCGAUCGAAGCGUCAUCCACAACGGCCGUACAAAUCGCUAUAGCUUCAAGAUGAAAGGAAAGGAGUACGUUUUACGACCUAUGUCUCCAAGUCAAGUGAUCGCCAACAAACAAGCCACCCAUCAUGGAGAGAAUAGUGAGAGAGCGAACCACCAAAAAGAGAGUGAGUGCCACAAGCCAAAAUUGAGUGCCUCCAUGAUGAGCGAAAAGAAGAAUCCAGUCCUAUUUGCCACCAAACGUGAGAUGAGAGAAGUGUGUGAGAACCCAUCAAGUGUUAUGCACUAUGUCCUCUUGUGCAAGGACGAGGCACCAAAAACUAACACCUCUCACAAUCUACCUCUAGUGUUAUUGUCUCUUUUGUAGGAAUUCCAAGACGUUUCCCCCCAUGAUCUACCUCCGGGUCUACCUCCACUACGAGGCAUUGAGCACCGAAUCGACCUCAUCCCUGGAGCACCCCUUACUAACAAGGCUCCCUACCACGACAACACCGAGGAAACUAAGGAGAUCCAACGGCAAGUACAACAUCUCAUCGAAAACGGCCAUGUACGAGAAAGUUUGAGCCCUUGUGCCGUACCGGUGAUCCUUGUUCCCAAGAAAGACGGUACAUUUCGCAUGUGUUCCGAUUGCCGUCCUAUCAAUGCUAUUACCGUGCGUUAUCGUUACCCCAUUCCACGCCUAUAUGAUAUGCUAGAUGAACUUAGCGGAGCCGUCAUUUUCUCUAAAAUUGAUCUUAAAAGUGGCUACUAUCAAAUACGCAUCCAAGAAGGUGAUGAAUGGAAAACCGCAUUUAAGACCAAAUUUGGCUUAUAUGAAUGGCUUGUUAUGCCAAUGGGUUUAUCCGAAGCACCCGGUACUUCCAUGUGACUCAUGCACUUUGUUUUUCGACCCUAUAUUGGUGUAUUUGUUGUGGUCUACUUUGAUGAUAUUCUUGUCUUUAGCAAGUCCCUCAAAGAUCAUGUCACCCAUCUUAGAACCGUGUUGCAAGCCCUUAGGAAAGAGCGACUUUAUGAUAAUACGGAUAAAUGCCUUUUUGGUGUUGAUAAGCUUGUUUUCUUGGGUUUCGUUGUGUCUUCUAAGGGUGUUCAUGUAGAUGAAUCUAAGAUCAAUGCUAUUAAAACUUGGCCCCAACCAACCAACUUGCAACAAGUGCGUAGUUUUCUUGGUUUAGCCGGUUUCUAUCGUAGAUUUGUGAAGGAUUAUAGCACCAUUGCUUCACCUUUGCAUGCUUUGCGUAAGAAGAAUGCACCAAUCAUUUGGGGAUCAUCCCAAGAUACCGCAUUUAAUGAGCUUAAGAAUUUGCUUACUCAUGCUCCCAUGCUUGCAUUACCCAACUUUGACAAACCAUUUGAAAUUCAUUGCAAUGCUAGCGGUAAUGGCAUAGGAGGUGUGUUAACGCAAGAGAAGCGCCCCAUAGCAUACUUUAGAGAGAUACUCUUCGGAGCGCAACUCAAUUAUCACAUCUAUGACAAAGAGCUAUAUGCUUUAGUGCGAGUUUUGCGUGAAUGGGAACAUUAUCUUCGCCCUCAUGAAUUUAUCAUUCAUACCGAUCAUGAAACGCUUGAGUAUCUUAAGGGUCAAACUAAGUUGAACAAGCGUCAUGCUAAAUGGAAUGAAUUUAUAGAGUCAUUUCCUUAUGUCAUCAAAUACAUAAAAGGCAAAGAAAAUGUUGUGGCGGAUGCGCUUCCCCGUAUAUGCAUGCUUGUUACUAAACUUGAAUUAAAUGUCAUUGGCUUUGAGCACAUAAAAGACUUGUAUGCGCAUGAUCCUGCUUUUGCAAUUCCUUAUGCCAAGUGUUUGAUGCAUACAUCUUGGGAACGCUAUUACAUCAAAGAUGAUUAUCUUAUGAGAGCUCAUGGAGGAGGACUAAUGGGACACUUUGGACGCGACAAGACAUUCACUACGCUCUCCAAGAACUAUUAUUGGCCCAAGAUGUUCCGCGACGUCUCACGCUUCACCAACUGAUGUUCGACUUGUCGCAAAGCUAAGUCCAAAGCUCAAUCUAAUGGCCUUUACAUGCCUCUCCCAAUUCCAUAUCAACCAUGGGAAGAUAUUAGCAUGGACUUUGUGCUUGGUUUGCCUAGAACUAUAUAUGGAAAGGAUUUCAUGUUUGUUGUUAUGGACCGAUUCUCCAAAAUGGCACAUUUCAUACCAUGCAACAAGAUAGACGAUGCUUCACAUGUUGCCAAUCUUUUUUGUAGGGAAAUCUUGUGCCUACAUGGAGUGCCAAAGACGAUUGUCUCGGACCGCGACAUCAAGUUCUUAAGCUACUUUUGGAAGACCUUAUGCGCCAAGCUUGGAAUCAAGCUACUAUUCUCUUCGGCGUACCACCCACAAACUGACGGCCAAACGGAGGUGACGACUGCACACUAACAACACUUCUUCGCGUGUUGAUCAAGAAGAAUCUCAAGGAAUGGGAAGAAUGCCUACCCAUCGCCGAGUACGCCUACAACCGCGCAAGACAUUCGACUACCGGCAAGUCCCCUUCCGAGGUCGUCUACGGUUUCAACCCGUUGUCCCCAUUGGACAUUCUCCCUCUAUCACUGCAAGAGCGCAUCAAUAUGGACUCGAGUGCCCGAGUGAACUACCUCAAGAAGAUGCAUGAAGAUACAAGGCACACCAUCGAGUUCCAAGUACAACGACUCGCGACCAAGCUCAACAUCAACAAGCAACCCUUGAUAUUCAACAUUGGAGAUCUUGUGUGGCUACACCUUCGCAAGGAAUGCUUCCCCACCGAACGCAAGUCCAAACUUCUACCACGAGCCGAUGGACCCUUCAGGGUGCUUGAACGCUACAACAACAACGCCUACAAGAUCAACAUCCCACGCGACAAGUACUCCGUGAGCGACAUCUUCAACAUCAAAGAUCUCUCCCCAUACCAUGGUGAUGAGCAUUUUGAUCCGAGGUCAGAUCUUUCCCAAGGGAGGGGAGAUGAUGCAGAGCAUCCCACGGUCAUCCCUAUGGACCUACAAUUGUCUCAUCAAGUGCCAAGAGGACCCAUGACACGAGCACGAGCUAGAGCUCUCGAGACCGAGGUGACUUCCUUCAUGAACUUCCAUAUGAAUCAUGUGAGACAUGGCUACUACCUCAAACGGAAAUGCUAUGCGUGCUCAGGUACCUAGAAGACCCUCUCAGAGAUGUGCAUGAAGACGGACAAGUCCCCAAGUUCAUGGAUGAAGAGAACCAACGGAAGGAGUCAAGAACAUCUCCCAGGCCCCGGACAUCCGGCCCCUGGAGCAUCGUCCAUAGCAGCCGCCAAGCAUCUAGAGGCCCCGGACAUCCGGUCCCAGCCCGAAAAUCCGGCCCGAAGCCCGGACAUCCGGCGCCCCAUCACCAAACCUGCUGAAACGGCCUCCACGGCCCGGACAUCUGCCCCCCUAGCUCGGACAUCAGGCCCCUCGGGAAGGCCCGGACAUCCGGCCCCGCCUGUCUGCGCACAGUAAAGGGCCGAGGCCUGUGUACCCCUUCGCCCACCUAGACUAUAUAUACUCCUUCUCCUCCAUCUUUCUAGGGUUAGCAAUGUGAUAGCUCAUACUUGAGAUAGAGCUUUGCUCAUCCAUAUGGAUCUACUCCUCGAGAGAGACCACGGCCCCUCUUCGGAGAAGAUCCACGUUGAAUUCAAGACCUCCUUACGGAGAAGAACCGGUUACCCUAUGUAUCGUCCUUUGUUGGAUUCGGAUCGUGUAUGUCUCUUUGUGUUAUGAGGAUCUAGCACAUGUGUGAUUCUUCUUGUUGGUUUGAGUGAUUCUCUUGUAUUUUCCUUCAUGUUUCCCCUCAUGUUCUUUGUGUUCCUUCUUGGGAUCCGCUCCUUUCGUGAAAGAUCGGUCAGCUAGGGUUCCACCCUACAUGACGGUGAUACCAACUCCCCUUUGUAGAGAUUUAGACAUAAAUGUAGUAAUUUAUGCCUAGAUAUAAUUAUAUGAUCAUCUUGUAAUCGACGAACGUGUCCUAGUCUUUUUUUUCAAGAAUGUGUCCGUCUUACGUGCCGCCUAUUGACCUUACAAAACUGUCACACAUUAUCCUUUGUGUCCUUACAAAUCAUAGAGAGAGGGGGGGACAAGACAACAUAAAAAAGGAAAUUAGCAACACUGUGCUCCUCACAUGUAGCACUUUUAACAUAGGUCAUUACAGAAUCAGCAAACAAGUGUACAUAGUGAACUAUCGGAAGCUCUGCAUAUAGGAUUCUCGCAUAUAGAGCUAUUAUCUAACUAACCAUUUGUGAAAGCACAAGUGCUCCCUGGGUGAUUUUGGUAAUUAAUGUCAACAUAUCUUUUGUUGGACUAAUACUUUUACCUAGUAUGUUUCAGAUAAGUUCAACAAUGGAGUGGCAUGGACUAGAGGAUGUGGAACCCCUUCAAGAUUCUAAGGACAAAGGAUUGGCUCAAGCUCAAAGCACAAGACUCUACAUUUUACUUUUAGUGAUCCAAGUUCACAUUGAGUCCAUAGGAAAGCCAAUACUAUUAAGAGGGGAUGAGGUGUUGCUUAAUGGCUUGCUUGCUCAAAGUGCUUAGUGAUAUGCUCCAAAUCCCUCAACUACUUUCUCACAUCCAUAUAUGUCCCAAACCAAAAGUCAAACUCGGCCCUACCGAAUCUUUCUAUCCGGCGCCACCGAGUUCUGUUGACAUAGCCACUGCCACAAACCCUAAUCAAGUCGGUCUCACCGAUAGGGAUCUCGGUCUCACCGAGAUGGGAUUGUAAUCUCUAUGUUGCCCUUCGUAACAUUUCGAUCAAACCGAGAUAAGCGAUCGGUCCCACCGAGAUUGCAAUGCAAACUCUCUGUUUCCCUUUCGUACCAUUUCGGUCCAACCGAGAUGAGCGAAUCGGUCCCACCAAGUUUGCCUGACCAACUCUCUGUGUGUCCAUUACCAAAAUCGGUCUCACCGAGUUUGUGUAAUCGGUCGCACCGAGAUUACGUUAUGCCCUAACCCUAACGAUAUCGGUCCCACCGAGUUGACAUGUCGGUCCCACCGAAAAUCCUAACGGUCACAUUAUUUACUAAAUCGGUCCGACCGAGUUUCACGAUUCGGUCCCACCAAGUUUGGUAAGUUGUGUGUAACGGUUAGAUUUUGUGUGAAGGCUAUAUAUACCCCUCCACCCACUCUUCACUCGUGGAGUGAGCCAUCAGAACAUGCCUACACUUCCAACAUACAUUUUCUGAGAGAAAACCACCUACACUUGUGUUGAGGUCAAGAUAUUCCAUUCCUACCACAUAAAUCUUGAUCUCUAGCCUUCCCCAAGUUGCUUUCCACUCAAAUCUUCUUUCCACCAAAUCCAAAUCCUGUGAGAGGGAGUUGGGUGUUGGGAAGACUAUCAUUUGAAGCACAAGAGCAAGGAGUUCAUCAUCAACACACCAUUUGUUACUUCUUGGAGAGUGGUGUCUCCUAGAUUGGCUAGGUGUCACUUGGGAGCCUCCAUCAAGAUUGUGGAGUUGAACCAAGGAGUUUCUAAGGGCAAGGAGAUCGCCUACUUCGUGAAGAUCUACCCUAGUGAGGCAAGUCCUUCGUGGGCGACGGCCAUGGUGGGAUAGACAAGGUUGCUUCUUCGUGGACCCUUCGUGGGUGGAGCCCUCCGUGGACUCGCGCAACCGUUACCCUUCGUGGGUUGAAGUCUCCAUCAACGUGGAUGUACGAUAGCACCACCUAUCGGAACCACGGCUAAAAAAUCUCCGUGUCUUCAAAUUGCGUUUGCACACUCCAAUCCCAUCCCUUUACAUUCUUGCAAUUUGCAUGCUUUACUUUCCGCUGCCCAUAUACUCUUGUCAUGUUUGCUUGAUAUGUAUUAUGAAUGUUGAAACUUGUGCCAAACUCCACUUCAACUUAAAGAAAUUAAAAACUGCAACUUUUCUCACUUAGAGUCUAUUCACCCCCCUCUAGACACCUCUUCUCGAUCCUUUCAAUUUGUUACAAACUAAAAUCUGCUUGAUGCGCUUAAGAAAUUCUCACACCCUAUCAUGUCAUUUUAACUCCAUUCGCACGAUAUUUGAUCAAGUAUAAUAAAAGGGCAGCACUCUGCGCCGGUGCGCCGGCCCAAACUUUGGGCCGGUCCAACCCUGGCCGUUAGAUGCGCCCCCGCAUAGCCGUCGGAUCGCGCCCUUUCCCAGCGAUUGUCACCCUAGCACGUUUUCAGAUCUGAAGAAAGCACCGCUGCAGGUCAUGGCGGCCGCCCCCCGUCGCCCCGUCGCGCAGCGCGCCGUCGCCCUCACUCGUUUGCCCUCACCAUCGACGGUCGCCGCCAUGAUCGAUGGCAACGCUCGCCGUCGACGCUCGCAGACAAAAAAAAGUGUCAAAAAAUAUGCUCUGUGUUGCCGCCCCAGUUGAAUCAAUUGAAAUGCUUGGUUCCAGCAAAUUAAAGAUAAGGUUGUAGCAAAAGGUCGCUCAUCCAACAAAGAACGAAGAACCAACUCCGGUGAAAGCAUUUUUGGGUGCUGGUUCCAGCAACAAAAACGUGGUUGUAGCAAAAAAUUGAUGGUCUAGAGAAAAUGAACUCCGGUGGAAGCAUUUUUUUGCUGGUUCCAGCAAAAUGAUUCAUCGGUUCCAGCAAACCUGGUUGUGGCUGCAGCACCCCCCGCCCCUCCACACAAACUCGUCGUGGUGACACUGCAGCUCGCCACGGUUGCCCGUUCCAGCAAAAACAAGGUGCAGUUGCAGCUCGUGUCGUGUGCUCCAGCAAACUAAAAUGCCGGUGGUAGCAAAAAGAUGCAAAGUUGAGGGAUUCCAGCAAAUCAAAAACCCGGUGGUAGCAAAAAUUCACACUUGUUCCAGCAAAAAUACAAAACGACGCUAGUUUCAGCAAAGCCCAAAAACGCCGAUGGAAGCAGAAAUUUGUGCGGGUUCCAGCAUCUGGCCGCCAUGGUUGUAGCACUCGCCAGCAUCCCGCGCGGUUCCAGCUUUUCUGGGCCACGGUUGCAGCUCCGCCUGACCACGGUUCCAGCAUCCCUCCAGGUCGGUUGUAGCAUCCCGACGCCGCCGUGUCGCACUGGUGUAUGUCCAGCCAUGGCGCACUGCAGAUAGCAGCUUCCGGUGAGGCCGGUUUCAGCUCCGGCCAUGGCUGGUUGCAGCAUCACAGAUGCCGGUUGCAGACAGCGGCGAGCGCGUCAAGCAGAUGCAGCCCCAGCUCCCCGCCGACAAAAAGCAUCCACCGCUUCACAAACUCGCAUAUCUUUGCAACUUUUGCAGCUCCCCCAUGUCUCCCAGUGUGUCACACGACGCGGGAGCAGAGAGAGUGUCGGUGAGUAGUGGUUUUGACGGGAUUAAUGGACACGGUGCUCGCCAGCGGAAGCAAGGGAGUCGAGGAGAGAAAGCAGAGAGCGAGGCAAGGGGAUGGGGAUUUUCUCCGGCUGGC
rnacentral:lncRNA from 1 species